UGAAAGUAAAAUUUUCUAUGUUAACUGAUGAAUGCCUCAGGGACUUAAAAAUUUCAAUAAAGCUGUCAGGGUACUUAUCAUUUGCCUUAAGAAGAUUGAUAAUGACAACUAUCUUGAGAAAAUGAUAGAUCAAGGCUUUUGAGUAGCAGAUGAUUAGAUUAAAGCCCUGAAGUCUGGAAUUCAAUGGAUGGACAGCUCAAGAUAUUCUUGAAACUCCAAGCAGCUCAAUUAUAAAUAAGUUGACAGAGGACUCAGCUCAGGAGGGCCAAGCCUGGAGCAUGUGGAGGAAGAUAAACAGCUCAUGAAUGGCGAAGUCCAAUAUAUUAGAGAAGAAGGAUGU